rnacentral:rRNA from 1 species
UACGGAGGAAGCUAGCGUUGUUCGGAAUUACUGGGCGUAAAGCGCACGUAGGCGGCUUUGUAAGUUAGAGGUGAAAGCCCGGGGCUCAACCCCGGAAUUGCCUUUAAGACUGCAUCGCUUGAAUCCGGGAGAGGUGAGUGGAAUUCCGAGUGUAGAGGUGAAAUUCGUAGAUAUUCGGAAGAACACCAGUGGCGAAGGCGGCUCACUGGACCGGUAUUGACGCUGAGGAGCGAAAGCUAGGGGAGCAAACGGG